rnacentral:rRNA from 1 species
UGAGUACGAGAUGCUACGGCAUCGAAGCAGUCUAUGUCAUACUUCCAAGAAAAGCUUGCAAUGUCAUAAACAAAUAAUGCCUGUACCACAACCGACACAGGUGGGUAGGUAGAGUAUACUAAGGGGCGCGAGAUAACUCUCUCUAAGGAACUCGGCAAAAUGACUCCGUAACUUCGGGAGAAGGAGUGCCUUAUUUUUAUAAGGUUGCAAUAACAAGAUCCAAGCAACUGUUUACCAAAAACACAGGUCUCCGCUAAGUCGUAAGACGAUGUAUGGGGGCUGACGCCUGCCCAGUGCCAGAAGGUUAAAGAAGUUGGUUAGCAUUAGCGAAGCUGAUAACUGAAGCCCUGGUGAACGGCGGCCGUAACGAUAACGGUCCUAAGGUAGCGAAAUUCCUUGUCGGGUAAGUUCCGACCCGCACGAAAGGCGUAAUGAUUUGGAUACUGUCUCGGAGAGGGGCUCGGUGAAAUAGACUUGUCUGUGAAGAUGCGGACUACCUGCACCUGGACAGAAAGACCCUAUGAAGCUUUACUGUAACUUGAGAUUGAAAUUGGACUUUAUCUGCGCAGUAUAGGUGGGAGACGUUGAAAAUAUUCUUGCGGGAAUAUUGGAGUCGUCAGUGAGAUACCACUCUUAUAAUGUUAGAUUUCUAACUUUGUAUCAUUAUCUGGUCAAAGAACAGUUUCAGGCGGGCAGUUUGACUGGGGCGGUCGCCUCCCAAACGGUAACGGAGGCGCACAAAGGUUUCCUCUGAACGUGUAGAAAUCGUAUCUAGAGUGUAAAGGCAUAAGGAAGCUUGACUGUGAGACCUACAAGUCGAGCAGGGACGAAAGUCGGUCUUAGUGAUCUGACGGUGCUGAGUGGAAAGGCCGUCACUCAACGGAUAAAAGUUACUCUAGGAUAACAGGCUGAUCUCCCCCAAGAGUUCACAUCGACGGGGAGGUUUGGCACCUCGAUGUCGGCUCAUCGCAUCCUGGGGCGGUAGUACGUCCCAAGGGUUGGGCUGUUCGCCCAUGAAAGCGGUACGCGAGCUGGGUUCAGAACGUCGUGAGACAGUUCGGUCCAUAUCCGGUGUAGGCGUUAGAAUAUUGAGAGGAGCCUUCUUUAGUACGAGAGGACCGAGAAGGACAUACCUCUGGUGUACCAGUUAUCGUGCCAACGGUAAACGCUGGGUAGCCAUGUAUGGAGAGGAUAACCGCUGAAAGCAUCUAAGUGGGAAGCCCACCUCAAGAUAAGUAUUCUCAU